rnacentral:rRNA from 1 species
GCAGGGAAUCUUGCGCAAUGGGCGAAAGCCUGACGCAGCGACACCGCGUGGGGGAAGAAGGCCUUCGGGUCGUAAACCCCUUUUCUCAGGGAAGAGUAAGGACGGUACCUGAGGAAUAAGGUUCGGCUAACUACGUGCCAGCAGCCGCGGUAAUACGUAGGAACCGAGCGUUGUCCGGAUUUACUGGGCGUAAAGGGCGCGUAGGCGGCCUAUUAAGUCCUGUGUGAAAUCUCCCGGCCCAACUGGGAGGGGUCAUGGGAAACUGGUAGGCUUGAGGGCAGUAGAGGAAAGUGGAAUUCCCGGAGUAGUGGUGAUAUGCGUAGAUACCGGGAGGAACACCAGUGGCGAAGGCGGCUUUCUGGGCUGCACCUGACGCUGAGGCGCGAAAGCAUGGGGAGCAAACCGG